GCGUGUGCGAUGAAGGCCCUCGGGUUGUAAAGCACAACAAAUAGGGAAGAAGAAAGUGACGGUACCUAUCUGAAGCACCGGCUAACUACGUG
rnacentral:rRNA from 1 species